rnacentral:rRNA from 1 species
UACUGGCGAUCUUGAGCGACCUAGGGGCAGUCGGAACAAGUGGUGGAGCGGUGAAAUGCGUAGAUAUCACUUGGAACGCCAAUGGUGAAAACAGACUGCUGGGGGUUCGCUGACGCUGAGACACGAAAGCCAGGGGAGCAAACGGGAUUAGAUACCCCGGUAGUCCUGGCUGUAAACGAUGUCGACUAGAUCGCGGCGGCUCUGACGUCGUCGCGGUCGAAGCAAAAGUGCUAAGUCGACCGCCUGGGAAGUACGGUCGCAAGGCUAAAACUCAAAGGAAUUGACGGAAUCGAAUU